rnacentral:rRNA from 1 species
UGGGGAAUAUUGCACAAUGGAGGGAACUCUGAUGCAGCGACGCCGCGUGAGUGAUGAAGGAAUUCGUUUCGUAAAACUCUGUUCUAUGGGAAGAAAAGGACUGUACCAUAGGAGAAAGCUCCGGCUAAAUACGUGCCAGCAGCCGCGGUAAUACGUAUGGAGCGAGCGUUGUCCGGAAUUAUUGGGCGUAAAGGGUGCGCAGGCGGCUUUACAAGUUGGAUGUGAAAUAUUGUGGCUCAACCACAAACGUGCAUCCAAAACUGCAAAGCUUGAGUUAAGGAGAGGUAAGUGGAAUUCCUGGUGUAGCGGUGGAAUGCGUAGAUAUCAGGAGGAAUACCGGUGGCGAAGGCGACUUACUGGACUUAAACUGACGCUCAGGCACGAAAGCGUGGGGAGCAAACAGU